rnacentral:rRNA from 1 species
AGACCCGAAACCCGGUGAUCUAGCCAUGGGCAGGUUGAAGGUUGGGUAACACUAACUGGAGGACCGAACCGACUAAUGUUGAAAAAUUAGCGGAUGACCUGUGGCUGGGGGUGAAAGGCCAAUCAAACCGGGAGAUAGCUGGUUCUCCCCGAAAGCUAUUUAGGUAGCGCCUCGUGAAUUCAUCUCCGGGGGUAGAGCACUGUUUCGGCUAGGGGGCCAUCCCGGCUUACCAACCCGAUGCAAACUGCGAAUACCGGAGAAUGUUAUCACGGGAGACACACGGCGGGUGCUAACGUCCGUCGUGAAGAGGGAAACAACCCAGACCGCCAGCUAAGGUCCCAAAGUCAUGGUUAAGUGGGAAACGAUGUGGGAAGGCCCAGACAGCCAGGAUGUUGGCUUAGAAGCAGCCAUCAUUUAAAGAAAGCGUAAUAGCUCACUGGUCGAGUCGGCCUGCGCGGAAGAUGUAACGGGGCUAAACCAUGCACCGAAGCUGCGGCAGCGAACGUAUCACCCAAGACAACUUUACGGAGUUGACGAUUGACGGAGCGAAGCGACGUCAAAGCGUUCAUUAAAGUCGAGUUGGCUUAGGGAUACGUUCGUUGGGUAGGGGAGCGUUCUGUAAGCCUGUGAAGGUGUGUCGUGAGGCAUGCUGGAGGUAUCAGAAGUGCGAAUGCUGACAUAAGUAACGAUAAAGCGGGUGAAAAGCCCGCUCGCCGGAAGACCAAGGGUUCCUGUCCAACGUUAAUCGGGGCAGGGUGAGUCGACCCCUAAGGCGAGGCCGAAAGGCGUAGUCGAUGGGAAACGGGUUAAUAUUCCCGUACUUGGUGUUACUGCGA